UACGUAGGGGGCAAGCGUUGUCCGGAUUUAUUGGGCGUAAAGAGCGUGUAGGCGGCCAGGCAGGUCCGUUGUGAAAACUCGAGGCUCAACCUCGAGACGUCGAUGGAAACCGUCUGGCUAGAGUCCGGAAGAGGAGAGUGGAAUUCCUGGUGUAGCGGUGAAAUGCGCAGAUAUCAGGAAGAACACCUAUGGCGAAGGCAGCUCUCUGGGACGGUACUGACGCUGAGACGCGAAAAGCGUGGGAGCGAACAGG
rnacentral:rRNA from 1 species